CAGGAACGUGGUUGGGAACCACUGCUCUACAUGACUUGAAAGAGAGACGGCUCUUCAAUGGAGUCAUGAGCAGAUAUGCUUCAUGUGUUUUGUGUUUUUAAGUGAACUGCAGAAGGAUCUUGACGAAUGUGAAGAAAUAUUGAACACUCACAGCAUCAGGGCAGUUAAACAGUCUCACUGUCCUUCUGAUAAACCAGAUGCAAUGUUCGCUCUUCCACACAGGUUGAAGUGUCUCUAAAGCUGCUGCUGAAUCGAGCUCCGUUGAGCCUCUACAUGGUGCACAUGCUGGACUGGUUUGAGGAGGAAGAUCACUUCAUCCUCGUCCUGGAGUAUUCACAGCCUCUAAACACUUUCGAAAAAGAGCACGUCAGACAUUAUCCAAAGCACAGCUGGAUUUCAUGAAGCCUGACUGAUCAGAAUUUAUAACUUUGGGAAGAAUCAUUAUUAAUGUGUUAAAUAGAGAAAUUUGCAGGCAAAAACACUUAAAAAAGCAGUAACUUUUCAGCAGAAACACACGUCUGGCUGUAAAAUGUUGUUGUGGAGGAAACAGAGCGGCUCCUCUACAGCUGAUGUCCGACAUUGAUUCAGUCGAUCCCUAGUCGACCCGUCCGGCCUCAAGUUAGUUAUGAAAACAAUAACGUCUGGAAGAAGAAAGCGACUCCUCAGUCGACCCUGUGCUCUACGUUUGAUCAGCUUUAACUACAGCUCUGUUUUCUUCUUCUUCUUCUUAUGGAGACUCACAUUUGAGUUUAUUAUUGAACCCAAGGUUUGGAUGUCGUCUCUAGUGACUAAGCUGUUAUUGUGGUCUCUCAGUUGAGUCAGGACUAGUUUAUGUCUAUUAUGCUCGGUGACUUGAUUAGGGGCCGUUUUAUUCAGUCAUUUGGGGACAGAAUAGGGGUGGGCAAACACUGUAAUGUUUACGAUGUUUCAUGUGUUUGUUUUAUUAGCUCAACUCUAUGCUGUCUUAUUUUCAAAACAAUCCUUUCAUUUUCUUUUCUUUCCCCCUGUUUUAUUCUUAUCAUUUGUGUUUAGUGGUGUUUCUCAUGGUUGGUUCACUUCACUCUUUCACUGCUGAGUGUAAAAUAUUCUCUCUGACCCACAAUGAGUUAUUGUUAGGCGACCGUUAUUUUAGAACGUUCCCUUUGUUGUUUCCAUGGCGACGCGUCAUGAUUGUCACGUGACACACCGCAGCCACUACAGCGCUGUAUGACAGACGUAUCGCUUUCAUUUAGUUUUUCCUUUUUUAAUUCAAAAUAUUCACACACUUGUUUACCAUGUCUUCAACUAUCUGAUAUUCUGAUUUAUGAAUACGUGUAAGUGAGUGUAUUUUGCCGUUUUAAAACCUUUAUAAAUGAUCUGGAUGGUGAUCUAUAAUGUGAGAUGGCGCCGCCAUGUUUGUUCUCGCUGUCGUUCAGAGAGUCCUGUCACCCGGAUGUACAGCACAUAAAUUCACCAGUUUCUCCUGAAAUACAUGAAAGUAAGUGUCUGGUGAACUGGGAAAGGAAUGGAGUGAAUUAUAUCGUUACUUACACUAUGU